ACCCAGACUCAGAAGGACAAACAUGUGUUCUUCAUACGGUGGAACCAGCAUCUCUUAAUCUGCCUGAAAGAGUACAAGACAAAAGACUGCAGAUGGUUCAUCACAGAAGCAGAGCAUGCUUGUGAAGCGCUACAUCCUGUUCGCUUCCUUGGACGAUCUAUUGGCUAAUGCUGUAUCACGUGGAGAGCUCUAGUUCUCUUUGGAAAUCGCUCUUCCCUGAGAUGUUUAUAUGGCUGAAUCUUUUCCAACAUUUAGUCCUGGUAUCAAGUGUUACCUCCUUACACUAAUUCUCCGGUGACAUUAACUAAAAUGUGGUACUUCAAAACUCACCAAGUCCUGAUUAUGGGAUUCAUCAAAGCACUGUGUACCAGGUUUAGGAGAAGAAGUUACAGCCAUGCUUCCUCUUGUCCAACUCCACAUCCCUUGAAGGUGAAAGCCUUGGGUGGGACAGUGAAAAAUUGAAAAACAAGGCAAAAAUAAAAGGAGAAGUUACAAAGCAAAGGAGGGGACAAGACCAAACUUUCUCAGUUGAUACACUUCGACUCUUCCUCAUGCGGUGUCUUUUCCUGAUCUACUGGAUUCUAAACUGGAAAUGGGUGAUCCACUUUCUGCCCUAUAGAGUUUUUGAGAGGGAAUAGAAUGAUAGACAACUAUGGCUCACAGAGUAUCCAUGAAGUGGAUGGUGAAGAUCGUGGAGAGACCAGCUAUCUCACCUCAGAAUGGAGCUCAUCAGUAGCUGGAGAGCUGUCAGUGACCUC